rnacentral:rRNA from 1 species
GGGUAAUCUGCCCUUCGAUGGGGAAUAACUCGCCGAAAGGCGAGCUAAUUCCGCAUAACAUUCCUUGAACCUCGGUUUGGGGACUCAAAGCCGUAAGGCGUCGGAGGAGGAACCCGCGCACGAUUAGCUAGUUGGUAGGGUAACGGCCUACCAAGGCUUUGAUCGUUAGCUGGUCUGAGAGGAUGGCCAGCCACACUGGAACUGAGACACGGUCCAGACUCCUACGGGAGGCAGCAGUGGGGAAUCUUGCACAAUGGGCGAAAGCCUGAUGCAGCGACGCCGCGUGGGGGAUGAAGCUUUUCGGAGUGUAAACCCCUUUCGACCCGGACGAAUGCCCCGCAAGGGGACUAACGGUACGGGUAUAAGAAGCCCCGGCUAACUACGUGCCAGCAGCCGCGGUAAGACGUGGGGGGCCAGCGUUGCUCGGAAUUACUGGGUGUAAAGGGUUCGUAGGCGGUGUAGCAAGUCGGGAGUGAAAUCUCUGGGCUCAACCCAGAGACUGCUUCCGAAACUGCUGUGCUUGAGUGUGGGAGAGGCGCGUGGAAUUGCAGGUGUAGCGGUGAAAUGCGUAGAUAUCUGCAGGAACACCCGUGGCGAAAGCGGCGCGCUGGACCACUACUGACGCUGAGGAACGAAAGCUAGGGGAGCAAACAGGAUUAGAUACCCUGGUAGUCCUAGCCCUAAACGAUCAGGACUUGGGGUGCCGCACGUUCGUGCGUCGUCCCGGAGCUAACGCGUUAAGUCCUGCACCUGGGGAGUACGGUCGCAAGACUGAAACUCAAAGGAAUUGACGGGGGCCCGCACAAGC